UACGUAGGGUGCAAGCGUUGUCCGGAAUUAUUGGGCGUAAAGAGCUCGUAGGCGGUCUGUCGCGUCUGCCGUGAAACCCGAGGCUUAACCUCGGGCCUGCGGUGGAGUACGGGCAGACGUAGAGGUAGGUAGGGGAGAAUGGAAUUCCCGGUGUAGCGGUGAAAUGCGCAGAUAUCGGGAGGAACACCGGUGGCGAAGGCGGUUCUCUGGGCCUUACCUGACGCUGAGGAGCG
rnacentral:rRNA from 1 species